rnacentral:lncRNA from 1 species
UCCGGGAGAAUGUCCUUCUCUCACGAGGGAACACGCGGCCCUUUCUACUGCUGCAUCCCAGGCGAAGCAGGUGCCCUGUUUUUUAAUGGGCCAAGUUGUGUGGGGAAAAAAAAAAAAAAGGCACGAUAAGAAAUACCUGGGGGCGGAGUUCCCUGGUGACUCAGCAGCUUACGGAUCCAGUGUCAUCACUGCUGUGGCUCGGGUUCGAUCCCUGACUGGGGACCUUCCGCAUGCCACAGGCACCGCCACAAAGAAACAGUGCGGGGAGAAGAAUGGGUUUAUGUACAGGUCACUGAAACCCUUUGCUGUACACCUGAAGCUGACACAACACUGGCUGUACCCAAGGCACACGGAGGUUCCCUGGCUAGGAGUCGAAUCAGAGCUGUAGCUGCCGGCCUACACCACAGCCACGGCAAUGUUGGAUUCGAGCCUCAUCUGUGACCUACACCACAGCUCACCGAAACACCGGAUCCUGAACCCACUGAGUGAGGCCAGGGACCGAACCUGCGUCCUCAUGGAUGCCAGUCGGGUUCGUUCACCACUGAGCCCCGAUGGGAACUCCUGAUUUUGUUUUUCAAAAUGAUCUUCUCCCUUUGUUGGAAAAUGUCACUUCAGUCAUCCUUUAGCAAUAAACUCCUGCUGUGGCUUGACCAAAAAAAAGAAAGAAAACAAAGAGAACAACACAAGGCCAUGGGAAGAUGAGGCAGGCACUGGCGUGAUGCCGCCGUAAGUCCAAGACGGCCUGGAGCUCCCGGAAGCUGCAAGAGGCAGGACGAGUCUGUCCCUGGAUCCUCUGAAGGGCGCCCAGCCCUCAGGCACCUUGGGUUCUGCCUUGCAGCCUCCCGAAGAGCGCGAUAAUGCAACGCUGCCAUGUUUUCUGAGCUCCACGGUUUGUGUCCCUUUUCCGUGGUGGACUCGGUGCUGUCACAGACAGGCAUUGGAUAAUGUCACCCACCUUCCCACCAGCUCACUAAAGUGCCUGGAAAAGCCACACUAGUCAUCCCACCAAAGACCAGACCCAGCCGCCAGCCCAUGGGCUGCCUACCUAGUCCCCACCGGUCUGGUGCCCAGCUCCAGCCACCUGCCCCAACCCGGACAUCCGGGCAGGGUCAGAUCCAGUCAGUGGAUUCCAGAUUUUAUUAAACAGGAGGAGGAAAGCGCUCCAAGCUUGAAAAUGCUAGGGUUCUUGUCUUCUGUUGUUUAUGUCCCACCCCCACCAAAAGCAAAGCAAGGUCAUUAUGGGAAAGUCAGAAAAUCCAAGCAAGGCAGACAGGAAUCACGUGCCCCCUCCCGGUGCAGAGGCGGGGCUGCUCCUGGCCGCGGGGGUGAGGCUUCCAGGCCCCUGUGCUUUGUAACUGACCUUGUGCACCCAACUGCCCUCUGGAUGGUUUCAAACUUUCUCUCCAUAAACACCAUAGAACAGGAACAACUUGCUGAAAGUUAGAAAGUGCUUCAAAAGCAGCCCAGAGAGUUUCUGAAAAAAUGGACAAACAUAAUCAAAGACACACCCCCUGCCCCAACGGCCCAGAAAAAAACUCUCAGAAGCCAGGGCCUGGGGACCUGGGUUUCGAACCGAACUGUCAUCUACUCAAGCAGUUUUUAAUGAUUUUCUAGGAACUGCGACGUGGGGAGGUUGGGGUUGGUGUAUCAGUCGCAGCGGCCGGGCCUUCUCAUGAGGCCCAGCCGCCCUUCCGCGGGCCGGUUGGUGUGCAGCCCGGCCGGUUGGUGUGCAGGCUGGCUGUGACGCGGGGGUGCACGGGAAGGGGUGGGUGAGGAAGAGGGCGCCCCACGCCCCAAGCCCUGCAAGCAGGACAAGCCCGGAGAUUUGAGGGGUCGCAGAGAUCGGCGGGGUCAGUGUUCGCAUUCCUGGCGGUGGGACGCCACCCACGGGGCAAUCGGGAACGGGAGGUGGGUGAGCCCAGAGCUGGCGCCCAGUCCUCCCGGGCUCUGAGAAGAAGGGCCGGAAGCGGGGAGAGAGCGGGUACGUCCGACUCGGGGUGGGGGGCGCGCUACCCGAGGGGUGGGAAGAGAGUGAGUCCGGGGGGUUGCAGGCGACUGCCGCAAGCGCCUCCACGUGGCCUCCGCGCGCCCCCGCCCCUGAAAGAGGCGUAAGAAAAGCGGGCGCGCGCCGCCACUGACGUCACACACCCCUAUUGGCAUCCGGCCUCCGGGCCUCAGCCGG